rnacentral:lncRNA from 1 species
GAAAUGAUUGGAAUCUCAUUGCUGAAAUUAUUGUAUGCAACUUUUGGACGCUCACUUACAUCUCGAAUGAAACUAGACUCGAGGGUCUUUUCUUGAGCUAGAUAUUUAAGAGUUUUCACUGGUGCCAUUGUUUCUAUAGAAAGUUGGAAAUGUUUCUAUGUUUCUUUUGUUCCUUUUGGCUUUUGCUGUCUUUGGGUGGUUGGAAAGAGAAUGAGAGAUCAAUUGAUAAGGUAGUGUUUAUGGAAUGCUCAAAGGUAAAGGUAUUGCAUCC